rnacentral:tRNA from 1 species
AAUUUUAUAGUUUAUAAAAAAUAUUUAAUUUGCAUUUAAAUGAAAAAUAUUUAAUAUUUUAAAGUUA